GCUAUGUGUGGCUCAGUCGGUAGAGCGUUCGUAGAACAACGCAAAGGUCGUGGGUUCAAAUCCCAGGGAAAGCA